rnacentral:lncRNA from 12 species
GUGACAGUGCCAUAUAAGCCUAGAAAAAAUCAGGAAAAUGUUGAUUUCAAAUUUCCUAUCUCUGUUGACCACUAGAGUACCUGGGAAAUGUCAAUAUUUUGGCACCCAAAUUACCUCUCCCAGCCUCCCUUUCACAUCCUGAAAUAGCAGAAAACGGUCUUCCAUCCAUACAGGCUUAUCUUCUUCAGAUGCUAUGAAAAUUGCAUACAACUUAUCAUCUAUGAUUAAUUAUUUAACUAUGAGACACAGAAGAGUUGAAAAGGAUGUUCCUGGACUUGAUGGUAGGGUAACUCUGCCAGGGCCAGCCUGUAACGGGUGGUGCUGCCUCUGUGUGAUUUAUUUACAGUAGUCACACGUCAGAGAAUACGCUCUGUACCUCAAAUAGGGCAAUUGCAAUUACUUUUUUUUUUUUUUUUAAGAUUUUAUUUAUUUAUUCCGGGAGGCAGAGACACAGGCAGAGGGAGAAGCAGGCUCCCUGCCAGGAGCCGGACAUGGGACUCGAUCCCAGGACUCCAGGAUCACGCCCUGGGCUGAAGGCGGACGCUCAACCGCUGAGCCACCUGGGCGUCCCGCGAUUACUUUUCUAAUCAAAUGUACACACAGACUCAGAUACAGAGUAAACAGGGUUGGACUGGAGAGGAGAGGCGUGAGCACUCCCCACGGGCGGGUGGGGCAGUCAGGGUCGCCGCGAAGGCCGCCUGCACCUUGCGGGACGCGCGCUGUCUGCCCGCCGGGCGCUGGGGCUCACCAGGGGGUGAGCCCGUUCACCGCUGCAGCGCAUGCGUCAGAGCGAAAUCUCGCCGUGAGCGGGAAUCUCACUGAGGUCUGUCUCGGGCGGUUUUUACGUCCCCUAUGAGGAAGGAGGUCAGCCCGUAUCCGGCCGUCCAGGCCUGCAUCCUCCUUGAGCGGGAUCAGGUGGACCGCAUGCUAUUUCCAGGUGUUUCCAAGUCCGUUGGGGUGGGGCAUGUAAGACUGCUCCUUGUCAGCUGGCCUCCUGACGCAGCUGUUCAACAGCCUUUCUUCUGGCACGGUGACAAAGCUGACGUGGCUCUUAGCCUAAACGACUCCAUUUUGUGGAGCAGCCAUUUUAAGAUGAGGACCCUGAAUUCAAAUACCUCUCAGAUGAAGACCCGGAUUGACCACACUCAGUUCAGGUGAGUACUCUAUUUCUCUGAGCUCCUUGCGAAUUCAUCUCUUAGCUGGAGCAGCAACAAGAGCACAUAGUCCAGUUCCCUCAGAGUGAAAGCGAUAGAUUCGCACUUACUGGGCUCCCUCUGGCCCCUCAUCCUGGGCUUGGCAGAGCCAUGUGGUUUGGAAUAUCAGAAGCAGUCAAAGUGGAGUCCAAGCUUCUUGCCACUGUGCUGGCAGCUCUAUUCUUCGGGUAGAGUUGUGAUGAGAUUUAAAUUGCACUCCAAUUAAGCUUUUCCUCUCUAGGUCCUCAGGGAGCAUUCUCUGGCUUGGACCAUGCACUUGUAAGAGCUAAUGCCAUUAUCAGACGCUGUUCAUCUCAUAUAAAUAAGCCCAUUAGCGCCUUGUCUGUCUGGCCAUGUACUUUCCUGCCACUGCUCAGAGUUCCCAAACACAUUUCCAAUCAGGCAAGCAGAGGAAAAUGUUAACAGCAAUAGCAUUCACUGUAUGGUUUUAUUUCCUGUCUCAUUAUUUUCCAGCUUUUAAACUAAUAAUUGGUAACAUCUGUCAUAUACUUAUUGUGUGCAAGGUACUGUGCUGUUUUUACAUAGGUUGCCUCAUUUCACCUUGACAGUAGAUCUAAAAGUAGGUACUACUUAAUCCCACUUUACAGGAUGAGCAAACAGAAGCUUAUAGAGGUUAAUUUGGUGUCUUCGGUGACGUAAUUAUUAAGUAGUAGAUUUAAGAUUUGAACCCAGACAGCCUGACUCCAGAACCCACCCCUUAACUUAACCAUGAUACUCCUUCCAGUUCUGAAUGGCCUUAUUUAUAAAAUAGUGGAUUCUGGCCGUUUUGAAGGUGAAAUUCUGAUAUGUUUAGGGGACAAGAGUAUGGUGGAGACUACUAGUGUUCCUGUAAAGUUUCCAUCUCCGUUGUAGUUGACUUGGGGCCAUGUGACUAUGUCUGGCCCAUUAGGUGCAAGCUGAAGUGAUAUGUGUUAUUUUCAAUACUCCCCGCACUAUCAGCCAAUUUAUCUCUCCGGCCUAUGGUUUCAGAAAGUGAAGAUCUCAGAGAUGGCAAAAUUGUCACAUGUAAGUUGCUUGGUGCUGCUUGGAGAGAGUCACAGUUAUCUGACCUGCAUUGGAUGGUGACAUGAGUGGGAAAUAAACUUUUGUUAGGUUAGACCA